rnacentral:pre_miRNA from 1 species
CUGAUACUCCCUCCAUCCCAAAAUUCUUGUCUUAGAUUUGUCUAAAUACGGAUGUAUCAAGUCACGUUUUAGUAUUAGAUACAUCCGUAUCUAGACGAAUCUAAGACAAGAAUUUUGGGACGGAGGGAGUAUAUA